GACGAACGCUGGCGGCGUGCUUAACACAUGCAAGUCGAACGGAAAGGCCCUGCUUUUGUGGGGUGCUCGAGUGGCGAACGGGUGAGUAACACGUGAGUAACCUGCCCUUGACUUUGGGAUAACUUCAGGAAACUGGGGCUAAUACCGGAUAGGAGCUCCUGCUGCAUGGUGGGGGAUGGAAAGUUUCGGCGGUUGGGGCUGGACUCGCGGCUUAUCAGCUUGUUGGUGGGGUAGUGGCUUACCAAGGCUUUGACGGGUAGCCGGCCUGAGAGGGUGACCGGCCACAUUGGGACUGAGAUACGGCCCAGACUCCUACGGGAGGCAGCAGUGGGGAAUAUUGCACAAUGGGCGGAAGCCUGAUGCAGCAACGCCGCGUGCGGGAUGACGGCCUUCGGGUUGUAAACCGCUUUCGCCUGUGACGAAGCGUGAGUGACGGUAAUGGGUAAAGAAGCACCGGCUAACUACGUG
rnacentral:rRNA from 1 species